UUUUAAAAUGUCUCAUUACGA
rnacentral:piRNA from 1 species